rnacentral:rRNA from 1 species
GGGGAAUUUUGGACAAUGGGCGAAAGCCUGAUCCAGCCAUGCCGCGUGAGUGAAGAAGGCCUUCGGGUUGUAAAGCUCUUUUAGUCGGAAAGAAAGAGUUGCAAUGAAUAAUUGUGAUUUAUGACGGUACCGACAGAAAAAGCACCGGCUAACUACGUGCCAGCAGCCGCGGUAAUACGUAGGGUGCGAGCGUUAAUCGGAAUUACUGGGCGUAAAGGGUGCGCAGGCGGUCUUGCAAGUCAGAUGUGAAAGCCCCGGGCUUAACCUGGGAAUUGCGUUUGAAACUACAAGACUAGAGUGCAGCAGAGGGGAGUGGAAUUCCAUGUGUAGCAGUGAAAUGCGUAGAGAUGUGGAAGAACACCGAUGGCGAAGGCAGCUCCCUGGGUUGACACUGACGCUCAUGCACGAAAGCGUGGGGAGCAAACA